rnacentral:rRNA from 1 species
CAGACUCCUACGGAGGCAGCAGUGGGAAUAUUGCACAAUGGCGAAAGCCUGAUGCAGCGACGCCGCGUGGGGGAUGACGGCCUUCGGGUUGUAAACCCCUUUCAGUAGGGAAGAAGCGAGAGUGACGGUACCUGCAGAAGAAGCGCCGGCUAACUACGUGCCAGCAGCCGCGGUAAUACGUAGGGCGCAAGCGUUGUCCGGAAUUAUUGGGCGUAAAGAGCUUGUAGGUGGCUUGUCGCGUCUGCCGUGAAAACCCGAGGCUCAACCUCGGGCGUGCGGUGGGUACGGGCAGGCUAGAGUGUGGUAGGGGAGACUGGAACUCCUGGUGUAGCGGUGAAAUGCGCAGAUAUCAGGAAGAACACCGAUGGCGAAGGCAGGUCUCUGGGCCAUUACUGACACUGAGAAGCGAAAGCAUGGGUAGCGAACAGGAUUAGAUACCCUGGUAGUCCAUGCCGUAAACGUUGGGCACUAGGUGUGGGGGACAUUCCACGUUCUCCGCGCCGUAGCUAACGCAUUAAGUGCCCCGCCUGGGGAGUACGGCCGCAAGGCUAAAACUCAAAGGAAUUGACGGGGGCCCGCACAAGCGGCGGAGCAUGCUGAUUAAUUCGAUGCAACGCGAAGAACCUUACCAAGGCUUGACAUGCACCGGACGGUCGCAGAGAUGUGGCUUUCUUCGGACUGGUGCACAGGUGGUGCAUGGUUGUCGUCAGCUCGUGUCGUGAGAUGUUGGGUUAAGUCCCGCAACGAGCGCAACCCUUGUUCUAUGUUGCCAGCACGUGAUGGUGGGGACUCAUAGGAGACUGCCGGGGUCAACUCGGAGGAAGGUGGGGACGACGUCAAAUCAUCAUGCCCCUUAUGUCUUGGGCUUCAAGCAUGCUACAAUGGCCGGUACAAUGGGUUGCGAAACUGUGAGGUGGAGCGAAUCCCAAAAAGCCGGCCUCAGUUCGGAUUGGGGUCUGCAACUCGACCCCAUGAAGUCGGAGUCGCUAGUAAUCGCAGAUCAGCAACGCUGCGGUGAAUACGUUCCCGGGCCUUGUACACACCGCCCGUCAAGUCACGAAAGUCGGUAACACCCGAAGCCAGUGGCCCAUCCUCGUGAGGGAGCUGUCGAAG